UACGGAGGGUGCAAGCGUUAUUCGGAAUUACUGGGCGUAAAGCGCACGCAGGCGGCUAUCUAAGUCAGAUGUGAAAGCCCCGGGCUUAACCUGGGAACUGCAUUUGAAACUGGGUGGCUAGAGUAUGAAAGAGGAAAGCGGAAUUUCCAGUGUAGCAGUGAAAUGCGUAGAUAUUGGAAGGAACACCGAUGGCGAAGGCAGCUUUCUGGGUCGAUACUGACGCUCAUGUGCGAAAGCGUGGGGAGCAAACAGG
rnacentral:rRNA from 1 species